UAUAUUUUUAUCCAAAAAAUAGUUUCCCAGUUUUGAAGGUUUUCCUUCAUAUUUUCAAAAGAUAAUGGCACAGUAGAGAGCAUAAUUCCCCGGAGCCUUUGACACCUCAAAUAUUUCAGUUUAAUGCCUUUUUUUGUGUAACUGCAAUGACCUGAUUCUUUACUUAAUUAAAACUAUUGCCAUUUGAAUGGCCAAACAAAAAGAUACACAUUUCAGUUUUAAAGAAAAUAUAAAUUUAAAAUCCAGCUCUCAUAAAUCAAAUAAAAAUGUCUGUUUUAUUUAUUCACAGGCACCUUUAACAUCACAAUAGACUCCAUAUUUUCUUGUAAUAAUAAUUUUCUGGAUGUAUCGUUCAUUCGAAUAGUGGGACAAUGCAGAAUAGUGAUGACGAGUAGAAACAUUAUCACAUAUUUUGCAAUUAUCAAACAGAUUAACCUACAUGACUCAUCUCAGCAACUCUGCAACCAAAACUUUCAAAUGAUGCGGCGAAACACCUUCAUCCUACAUGUUGUUCCAGCAAAACUGAAAACAACCAAAAUGGGCGGAGCCAGAAAUGAAUCAUAACUAUUCUAAAUUUAAAAAAAAAAAAAUAUCCAUAAGUUUUCAUGAUGAACACGUUGGAUUAUGCAUAAUAAUGAUGAUGACGAGUAAAACAUUUUUUACAUAACUAUAAUCAUCAAAAAAGACUUCCUCGGACUUACAUAUAAGGACCAAGAAAUUAUUAUAUCGAU